rnacentral:rRNA from 1 species
UACGUAGGGUGCUAGCGUUGUCCGUAAUCAUUGGGCGUAAAGAGCGUGUAGGCGGCCUGGUAAGUCCGCUGUAAAAGUCAAAGGCUUAACCUUUGAAUGUCAGUGGAUACUGCCGGGCUAGAGUCCGGAAGAGGCGAGUGGAACUCCUGGUGUAGCGGUGGAAUGCGCAGAUAUCAGGAAGAACACCAACGGCGAAGGCAGCUCGCUAGGACGGUACUGACGCUGAGACGCGAAAGCGUGGGGAGCGAACAGG